ACCCAAGCAAGGCAGAAAACUAGAGGCAGGAACUACAUAGAGAUCGUGGAGGAAGGCUGCGUACUACUGUGUUCUCCAUGGCUUCCUUAGCCUGGAGUCCAUCCAGUACCACCUGCCAGGCUUAGGACAAACUGAGGAAGACGUGGCAAGAAGAAUGUGAGAGCUAGCGGUGGUGAAUAAUUUCAAGGAAAGAGUGUCUUCUGGACACAGCUGGGCAGAUGUGUAUGUGAACUCAUGGCAACUGUGACAGCGUACACAAGACCUAUGCAAGCUCAAGGAAGAAAGGAAGUCCCAGCAUGGGGCAGGCAGCUAUUAUUCCUGCUCCAGACUUCCAGAGAGUUCUGGAGACAAGCUGUGAAGGAAACAAAAUGCAAAGAAAGACAGAAAAAGAAGGUAAUUUAAACCUUCAAGCAAUGCACACAUUUCAUGAAAUUAUGAAAUGCUCUCAACGGACUAGAAACUCAUCACAGACUGAAACUGUGGUGUGAAGACUUCCUGUGCAAGCACUUGAAUGCUCCAAAGUGCCAAAGUCCGUAACUGGGGAACUGAGAUGAAAAAUUAAGAAAAGCGCACUGAGGAAAUCCAACCCAGGUACAAGUGAGGAGGGGCAGGACACUGGGAAAUACAAUGGAAAACCUCCUAGCUCCCCUCCUUCCAAUACAAGUCUCUAAUAUUUUCUUUGAUCCUGUUUUUCUACCUAUAAAAAUAUACUCAUGCUUGGACUAGACUAACUGAUAUAAACGCCGCACUAGUUCUGCCGUUUCUUGGUAGCAUGAUUUAGGAAACAGACAAUGUAGCAAUUACCUUUCUUUAUGACACAGAAUGACACAAGCACACAGAGAAU